GAGAGGAGGCCUUGCAGCCACUCCUACUACCUGGAGCUGGGGAGGAAUCACAGAAUGGAUGCAGGAAUCCCAGUCAGCACUGGCACAUGCUCCGAUCUAGGAAGCUCUCAGCCCCAGGAUGUGACUGAAGGGAAUGGUGCUGACCCAGGAGCUGAGAGGGGUCUUGGGGGAAGCAGGCUCGGAGAGGUUGGGACUUGCCCCAUGUCACGCAGCUAACACUUGCCUCAGCAUUCCGUGGCACAAAGGAAUCUGCUCAUCCAAUCUGGAGCCUGCCUCAAGUUGAGAGGAAUCGAAGGUGAAAGGUGGUGCCAUGGAUGUAAAUUCCUCCUCACUGGACCCAAACACAUGGCUACACAUCCUGGGAAAGAAAUCCGGAGCUCUCCGUGAGCGGAUGUCAGAGCAGCAGGAAGGGGGCCAUGCCUGAGGCCUUCACUGGGGGUCCCCACAGAGCAGGCCUUGGCAUGGCAGGGGAAGCUGUGGUUGCUAGCAGGGGGUGAAGGGAUCAGACCACCAGAGGGUCCACCAGAGGAGGAGGGAGUUCUUCAGCCUGGAGAAGGUGGGAGUGGGGGAGAUUUGGAACGGAAAAGCAUUGCAAAAGGGACCAACCUAGGUUUAAUGUCAGGGAAAACUCCCAGAGUGGUCCCUCUGCAGGUCCAGUCAAGGCUAUCAGGGCAUUCUUCUGGGGUCUGGGAUCCCGAUUCUUUAGGGGGGUGUCGAGCGGGCCCUUUUCUACGCUUCCCCUUGGCAAUCUCAUCCUUCCUCCCCUGGGAGGCCCAGCAGGGUCCUUGACAAGCAGCAGAGAUCCGGCACCUGGGUCCUCUGUGUCCCCCACGCUUGAGGUUGCCUUUGAUCUGCUUGCACAAUGCCAGUGGCCAGCCGGAGUCCUGAUGCCUCGGCUUGGCACUGGGGGCGGGGGCGACAAUCUGCUUUUCCAGCCCCAGCGCCCAUUUGUUUCCCUGCCAAAGUGGCUCCAGCGCUACACCUCCCCCACUUUGCUCCAGCUGUUCCUGUGCUUGGAAUGUCCCCCUCCCACGUUUACACCUGUUGAAAUCAUUCUCCUUCCUCCAAGCCCCAGAUCCAAUAGCAACCCCCGCCACGGAAGCAUUUUCCAGGGCCUCCCAUAGCUCUCCAGCGGGAGCAUCCUCCCUAAUGCCUGCCUCGCACUGCCGGGCAUGAAACCUUCAAGAGGGCUCUGUAGGGGCUAGCGGGAAAGGGAGAAGGCCAGAAGAGCUGCUGAUUUCUCACUUGAAAGCGGGAUUCUCAGGAAGACAAGGGGGAGGGGGGGCCAACUUUAGCCACAGCCUCUGGUGUCGCCACAUUGGAUUUUUCUCCGGGGCCACGCGGGGUGCAGGAAGCGAGGCUUUCUCAAAUCUGUCACCCAUAAAACCACCAGCGAGGCAAGCUGUGAUUUAUUUGUGCAGCCCAAGCCAACUGCCACGAGCCAAAGGCUGGCCCAACCCUGCCCAUAAGGGUCUCCAAGACUCCCCAGAGCGGGGACCCCUCUGAAAAAGCAGCCUUCCGAUGGCUCCCCGUGUGGAGACAGCAAACGGUCACUCCUUAUCUUGGGGCAAGUUCUCCCUCCUCUCUGGCCGGCCGGUGCAAGAGCAGGACUUCUAAAGCGUCCCAGGACCCAGCGGUGCCAACAAUUCCUGCAAGUGGCCCCUUUGUGGCUGAUACUUGCACAAGAAAGGCUUGCAAAGUGCUUAAUUAUUCAAACCCCAAAGGAGCCAAGUGGAAAUGGAGGAAGGCCAAAAGGAACCCCCUAGGGUGCCCAUCCGCUCCCUGGGCCAGAUGGGGAAUGAAACCUUCUCUUCCCCAGUGCCAAUAGGGCAGGGCGGAAAAGGGGGGUGGGCCAGCGGGGCCAGGAGCACGCGCACACUCACAAGCAGCCGAAGGACACGGGCUCAUUUUCAACCAAGCUUUUAAUGAAAAGAUCAUAAAAUAA